rnacentral:lncRNA from 1 species
AAACGGCCAGGAUCCCGUAAGAUCUCCUGGAGCAAAAACACAGCCGUAUAAGGCUCGUCAAGAAAGCAAGAAAUUAAGUAUUGACUUCAUUCCGAACUCCUGAGCCCGUCACACAGGUAGCGCAAAAGCUUAUGCAAAGAACAAAAAUCCGAGCUCCUUAAUCCGCUGAAUGGAUGGACUCACGACAAAAGUAAGAGACCCUGCCCACAGCUCGGAUUAACUCGCAAGCACUUAA